AGGUAGUUGUUGGAGGAGAAAGACAAGUGAUUACUUGUGCUGACUCAGUAUUUGCUUUAACAUAUUUUAGUAUCAUUGAUACAUAUCUGAACAACAUCUGGAUAUAUCUGAAUAACAUCUAGAUAUACUGUAUCCAAAAAACAUCUGGAUAAGAAGGUCUUAUAUAAGAGACAGAAGAUCUCAUCGGAGCGAUGGAGACUUUUCAUGUGGCUCUCUUUGUGGCCCUGGCAUUAUGUGCCUUUUGCAUGCUGUGCCUGUUUUUGCACACACUGUGGGGUUGGCUAACUGACAGUGAGAAACAGAAACAGAUUGAUAUCGAAUGGGCAGCUGCUUUUGGCGAUGCUGAUGUGCCGGUGGCUCUAGUGAUAUGAAUUGGAGAGCUGGGGAUUAGGGCUUCUGGCGACACCCCAAGAAAAAAAAAAA